rnacentral:rRNA from 1 species
GACGAACGCUGGCGGCGUGCUUAACACAUGCAAGUCGAACGAAGUGGCGAACGGGUGAGUAACGCGUAAUCAACCUGCCCUUCAGAGGGGGACAACAGUUGGAAACGACUGCUAAUACCGCAUACUGAAGGAGGGGAUUGCGUCUGUUUAGCUAGUUGGAGGGGUAACGGCCCACCAAGGCGAUGAUCAGUAGCCGGUCGGAGAGGAUGAACGGCCACAUUGGGACUGAGCCACGGCCCAGACUCCUACGGGAGGCAGCAGUGGGGAAUCUUCCGCAAGGGACGAAAGUCUGACGGAGCAACGCCGCGUGAGUGAUGACGGCCUUCGGGUUGUAAACUGCUUUUGUCAGGGAAGCGGUACCUGAAGAAUAAGCACCGGCUAACUACGUGCCAGCAGCCGCGGUAAUUC